UAUAAUUAUCAGCACCGUCCA
rnacentral:miRNA from 1 species